AUGGAGGCAGACGGCGCGAUCGACUUCAGCGCUCUGGAGAAAGAGCUGCGAGCAGCCGUGGCUGCCGACGAGAAGUAUGAGAGGGAAAACAGCGCCAAGUUCCGGGCCGUGCACCAGAAAGUGGCAUCUUACGAGGAGUUCAGGGAUAUCGUGCUGGCAUCACACUUGAAGCCUCUAGAGAAAAAGGACAAAAUGGGUAAGCAAAGAAACCUGCUGUGGAAUCCUUGUGCAACCCACACUAAAGGAGAGCAAGUCAGCAACGUGGAAAUAGCCCAGGAACUAGAUCAACUGCCUGGAACCUCUGCUGAAUUUUACAGAGAUUGGCGCAGAUGCUUAACAAGCGGAAAAGAAAAAUACCAGCUUUUGCUUAAACUUGAAGGCAAGGCCUUGGGCAGAAUCUUUCAGGCUGACCUGGGGUUUGGCCUCCUGGGUGAAUUCCUUACUGUGCUGGCAGAGAACAUCUGUCAUGAAGACGGAGAUGCCAUCCUGCAGAUCUUACAAAGCCUUUCCAACACCAAGCGCUUUGGGUUGAAUGUGGAUCUUCUCAGUGAGUCAGAGAAGGAGAGCAGCAGAGAUUUGUUUAGGAAGCUGCAGAGCAUGAACAGAAAUUACUGGACCACUGGCCGUCUCAGUGGCACAGCUGACUGCAAAGCAGAGAGAGAAGCCCACCUCACGAGCACCAGUUUGCAAAAGGAAGCUGAGGAAAAGAUACUGAUGGAGCUGAUGAAACGUUAUCAAGUUGGCUGAAGCAACAGAAGCAAAACAGUCAUGCAGGAACAGAGUGCAGAAGGGCUUGGCUUUGUCAUCAGACACUGUGACAGAGACGUAGGCAAAUGAAGUGUUUGGAGCGUUGCUGGUUGCAUUUCCCUCUGUAUCUGGGAUUCACCCAGAGCAAUAGCUCUGCACAAAUAAAGGUGUCUCAAAGUAUUCAGAAAGACUCUCGAAUGGCACAGCGCAGCACCUACCCAUCAAGCUCCCUUGCAGGUCUGGUCUGGGAAGAUCUGGGAAGAGCUGAGGAGCCUGAUGUAUAUUAAACUGCUCAGACUCCCUUGAAUUCAGUUCAGAAACAACUGCCAGGUUUGUUUCAUUCAGAAAUCCAGCUGGAGGAGCAGAAGCUAGAGUUGCCCCAGCUGACAACACACAGGCAACACACAGGGCUGUGGGAGAUUGUGGUUCUUGUUCUUGCCGGACAGAGGUGGCUCAGACCCAGAGCUUCACUAUCCUAACAUUCAGGCUCUGCAAAGGUCCAUGUUGAAGUUAAGGAGAGACUGCUGGGGGUGCUCUCUGUGGUGGGAAGAAAUGGGUUCUUCUGUCACGGUUGUUUCUGCUAUUUACAUCAAUCAAUCACAAAAUAAUCCUGAAAGAAGGCAUGGGAACCCAGGGCUCCCCUUCCAUGGCUAAGCAGCCUACUCCUGAGGUGCAGAGUUAUUGUCUGCGCUCUUAACCCAGGACACUUUUGUGAUUGCAGUGCAUUGGUUUCCGGAUGAUGUGUCAGUACUUUUCCUACCUUUCUUACUCUACCCCUGAGCCUUUUCUCCUGCUUACUAAUGUGUAAACUGGCUGUUAGGAUAAUUCCUUUUUCCUCCCAGGUUGUGGGAGUUGGGUUGAAAUCUCGGAGGGCUUCAACAGCCCAGUCAGGUCUUUUUCUUCCUAAGAUGGUGGUCAAAGUAUGAGGGGUUUACAUUGGCAGCGAGCAACGGCUCUUUCUCCAGUGGCCACGUAUGACAAGAAGAGUUCAGCAUCAUCCUUUCAAGGGGUCCUCGUGGUUACCCAUUCUGUGCUGGAACAGCCCCUGCAUGACUGUGUGAGCUAGCUGUGGUUUAGGAUCUGGCGGGAACUGCCGCAGUGUUUUCAGCAGGUCCCAAGACUCGGUGCUUGUAUUCAUGUCUCAUCUGGAGGACGGGAGCAGCCUGCUUCAUCCCCAUCAUUUGGGGAAAGCAAAAUCCCUGUUGUCGGGUGGGAAGACUCAGGAUAAAUGAAAUGCUGGCAAGCGCUGAACUCCUCCUCAAAGGAAAGGUUACAUGAAUGUUAUCAGGAGGAAGGGCUGUUAUACCAGCUGGGAUCAGUUUCCCCAGUGGUCAGUUCAUGGUCUGAUCUGAGCAUUUGCUCAAGAAGUGCAAAAGUUGAGUUAAAGGUCUGGCCAAGCUCAGUGGGGAGCAAAUAGCUUACCUUUACCGUAAGAGAGAUGCGUUUAAGGCCUCCAGGGCUGGUGCCAGCAUUAGCCCAAGCAAAGGCGAUGUGAAUGGCAAGCCUCACUUGAUCACUCAAAUUAGGGACAGUCUCCACCAUUACCUGUGUUGAGGGGCUUCAGCACACAAGCACUUGGAAAACCAACAGGGAGGAUGUAGAAGUCUAAAUAUCACGUUUGAAACCCUUUGUUUUGUGCUACAGAGAGGAGCUGCAGUUGGAACAGGUUCUUCUCUGUGUUCAUUGCGCGCAGAGGAAUAAGUGAAAUCCUUACCAUUUCUUGC